GCUACGUGUGAAGGUAGGGUUCCCCUCCCGUUGCGGUGUAAAGAGCUGAUAUGGAUAAAUGUCAACGCUGGUGGGUGCUCGCGGGUGGCCAGCGGGCAGUUGGUGACAGUUGUCGGCAAGAGACCCAGCAGGCAGCAAGUGAGCUACAGGUGAGAAGAGAUCAGGAGUCACCGAGAAGAGGCGCUCAUCAGAGAGAAAGUGGAAUAAGAGAGAGAGGGGGAGAGAGAGAGAGCGAGCAACAGUGAGAGGAAACAGCGAGUGAAUUUGGAGAGAGAAAAUAGAAGAAAAUUAUAAGAAGUGAUCACGAAAAUGUCACGAAAAUGUGCAUGGUGUGGGAAGGCCUUUGCUGAUGGGGAACUGUUGCUGGCCCACAUCGAUCAGCAGCAUGCCCCAGCGAGAGCGACAUCACAGGGGGAAGAGCACAAGUGUGAACAGUGUGACAAGAGUCUUAAGACGAAGAGUGCAUUAACAAGACAUAGAAGUGAAGUGCACAGUGUAGUUAGGGAAAAGUGUGAAAAGUGUGAAAAGACAUUUAAAAGUAAGAGAGCGCUUAGUGCUCAUACAACGGAGCAGCAUGGGGAUAGAGAGAGGUUUAAGUGUGAUAAGUGUGGUGCAGACUUCACGCGGGUGUAUGAACUGAAUCUACAUCAGAAGCGGCGGUGUGGGUCAGUGCUAUCCGCCCGUGUUCAGAGGAGAAAGGGAGUUAUCACUCGUCACUGCAGCAAGUGUCAGCGGAGCUUCGACAGCAGUUUGGAGGCAAUCCGUCACAGGAGACUCUCUCAUCCCGUGCAACGAAAAAGGUUGGUGUGUGUGUAUUGUAAGCGGGUGUUUUACUCUGUGGGGUCACGCGCCCGACAUGUGCUCCUGUGUGCGGAGAGAAAGAAGAGACGGGAGCGCUAUGUAGAGCGUGUAGCGGCGAGGAGUAGUGGAGAGGUAGCCUGGGAGACUCAGAAGGCAGUGGAAGGGAAUGCAAGAAUCCACUCUCUAAAUGUCCUUGCAAAAAAUGACCUCCAGAUGGCCAUGUUAGAAAGUAAA